UACGGGGGGAGCAAGCGUUGUUCGGAUUUACUGGGCGUAAAGGGCGCGUAGGCGGCGCAACAAGUCAUUUGUGAAAUCUCCGGGCUUAACCCGGAGCGGCCAAGUGAUACUGUCGUGCUAGAGUGCGGAAGGGGCUACUGGAAUUCUCGGUGUAGCGGUGAAAUGCGUAGAUAUCAGGAGGAACACCAAUGGCGAAGGCAGCUCGCUGGGACGUGACUGACGCUGAGACGCGAAGGCCAGGGGAGCGAACGGG
rnacentral:rRNA from 1 species